rnacentral:miRNA from 1 species
CAGAACACCCAGUUAAAUCUGAAUUUCAGAUAAAUAACAAAUAAUUGUUAAUAUAAGUAUACCCCUGUUCAAUAUUUGGGACAUACUUAUACUAAAAAUACUUAUUGUUUAUCUAGAAUUCAAAUUUAGCUGAUGUCCUGUA